CAUUCACAAGAUAUCUUAUUGUGUAUUUGUAAAUAUUCCAAUAUUCAAAAGCAAUUCAAAUCCAAAACACUUUUGGUCCCAAAGCAUUUCAGAUAUGAGCUAUUCAACCUCUAAUGAUAAAAUUUGGGUCGUAAAAGUCUUCACAGAAUGUACUUGAAUCAAGACUUUAGGAUUCUCUGAGAGUCAUUUAGGCUGUUUUAAGGUCUUCUGUCUGAUUUCCUUGGGAUCCCAACUAAAGUAGGGUUUGAGAUCCAGAAGCAGAGGGACUUAGAGCUGGGGCCUUUUAAAGCAUUGGAAAACUACCAGUUGGGUACUAUGCUCACUACCUGGGUGACGGUGAUCAUUUAUACACCAAACCUCAGCAAUGUGGAAUUUACCCCUGUAACAAACCAGCACAUGUACCCCCAAAACAAAACAACAAAAAGAAUCGCUCACGUUGGAACAAGGUAACUAACACCAGAGGCUGACUUCCGAAACCGCCUUUGCAAAAAUUAUCACUGAGAAAAUUAUAACAACAGUGAAAGAGAUCUGACCUAACUGACUCCAACUUGCUUCUAACCUCUAUGCUGCCCUUGUUCAUUCCUCAGUGGAGGCCGAGCUAACUUUAGGAGGAACUUAAUUUAUAGUUUAACUUUGAAACAAAGAUGAUAACAGCUCUUUCCCAAAACGAACCCCCUUCCUUCCUGAGGACUAGACUGCCUUUGCAGGACUGACAAAUUAGCCACAAGAUUCAAAAUUAUGGUGUAGGAGUCAUGCACCUGGAGGCUGCAAGUUUCUGAACCUCCCCAAAUUGCUCUUAGGGAUAACAUGUCACUAUUGUAAAACCUAAGAUCAGCCCUUGAGAUAUUUUGCAGACCCAGCACUCAACGGAUCAGCUGGCACCAGCCAGAUUGAUAAACUGACUCAUCUGGUCUUGUGGUCCCCACCCAGGAACUGAUUCAGUUCAAGCAGAGAGCUUUGCCUCCUUGUGAUUUCAUCUCAGACCUGACCAAUCAACAUUCCUCACUUUCCUACCUGCUACCCAUUGAAUUACCCUUAAAUACCCACAAUCCCUGAGUUUUCAGGUAGACUGAUUUGAGUAAUAAUACAAAUCCAGGUUUCAAUAAUAAUAAAACCCCAGUCUCCCUUACAGCUGGCUCUGCAUGAAUUAAACUCUUUCUCUAUUGUAAGUCCCCUGUCUUGAUAAAUCAGCUCUGUCUAGGCAGCAGCCAAAGACAACCCAUUGGCCAGUUGCACUUCUAACGCAGGUUUGCUUGGCUUCCAUCCUCAAAUAUAAGCAGGGAUUCAUUUAGAUGGGGUCUUACAUGCAGUGUCUCAAGAUCGGGGUCUAAAUAAGAAUGUGUGUCUGUGUGUAUGUGUGUGUGUGUUUAGAAACAGAGAAAUGAGACAGAGACAGACAUAGAAAAAGUAUCACUUUUUUCCCAAGAAAGAAAGUGACUCUUGGGAACUAGUAUUCAGGGCUGCAUAAUGACAGUUAUUCCAAAGAUGUAUUGAGAGUAUUUGAUUACAUUUUCAAAUCCUCCACUUCAUGUGACAAGUGUCAAACAUAGACCAGUCAUUCCUGCCUAGUCAAGAACUUACAGAGACCCAAGGGGUGGGGGCACUAGGAUUUUAAUGAAUAGGAAGAUCACACUGUGUCUUUGAGGUUAAACAUCCUAGGCAGCAUUCAGAAAUCCUGCUUACCAGAUCCUAGCACACCGAUACAGUUGACCCCAGAUCAGUGGUAGGAUGGCUGGAUGGUUUUCCUCCUACCUACUGCUCACUAGGGAAACUCCAGACAGAGAAUGGUUGUUGUCUUCCUUCGAAAUCUCUCCAAUCUGGAGUAAAUUUUAGUCAUUUACUAAACAUGCUCCACAUAAAUUAUUCCAAACCAUGUUUACUUACUUGGGUCUAAAAUCCUAUAGAUGGACAAAGCACACAUGGCCACAGAAAGAAAGAAAAAUCCUCACUGGAGCCCAGCCCGGUGAAUGCAACUUUUCCUUCUCCAGGUUUUAACCCUCUGGCAUAAGAUGUGGCCACACAACAGAAUAUAUUAAAUUACGAGACUUUUUUCUUUUUGGUCAAAGACAUGUAAAUAAAUGAUCAGGAGAAGCAAAACUAAUAUAAAAAAGAUUCGUAGAUGGGUUUAUCAAGAACAGAAGGAGAGUUCUAUAGUUCUGUAAAAAUUACAUCCCAAGCAUGUUUUCCUACAGGUUUAAAUACGAUGACAAGAAUGUUAUCAACUUUUUAUAUCACUCUGAAUAUACCAUUUUAGGAAUUUCCUGGAGGUUUUUUUCCAAACACUUUCUUAGGAAAUUGGUGAUAGAAAAGCUUCUGUCUCCUUUAAUAAGAUGUAUUUCUACUUGAUUCCUCAGUUCAUUCAACCUGAGGUUCUAAGGGCUGCAUUACUAACUCACAGGAUUGUUGUGUGAAAUAAUUAAUUAGUAUUUCCAAGAUGUUCAUAAGAAAGGUGUUAAAGAAAAAUCAAAUCUGGUCUAACAGAGGACCCUCCAAAAGGAGACCUCCUUCUAUUAUUUUAUUCUUAAUUCUAACCAAAACCCAGAGUUUGGCCAAUGCCAAGAUAACUGUCUGGAAAUACUUGGACAAUGGAGUUCUGAUGUUUGCAAUCUGAUUUCUCUCUGGCAUGCUGUUGGUAUUAUAUUCUUAUUAGGCCAUAAUUAACAUAGUGCACUAGGAUUGUAGCAUUUUCCUUAUAGCUUUCUUCAUUUUGGAAAAUGUUUCUGUUCAAAGGGAAACAACCCAAGGACCUCACAGCAGUCUGGUAGGUAAGAAAAUAUCUAUCUUCCUGUUCAGGACACCAGCUUAUUUUCAAUUUUGACUGCUAUUUCUGUUUUCCAGAUCAUCAAUGUCAGAGAUGAGUUUUUCUUGUCCUUCACUUGGAUGAUAUCUGCAACCAUAACCUCGUAAAUUCUUCUCUGGAGCCUCCAGUUAAUUCUUCGGACCCAUCUCCUCUUCUGGAAAUCCUACAAGAUGUGCAAGGCCCAGUUCCAAUUCCACCUUUCACAAAAGCACUUGCCUUGAUUACACAGGGAAGAAGUGACACUUUCCCUUCUCUGGACUCCUGGUGAUUUUCUUUGUACCAUUCAUUUAAUCUUAUUUGGAUGAAAUUUGGAUAGGUUUGGAAUUUCACACAUUCUAAAGAAACGAAUCUUGCCCCAUUGGAAAGAAUGUCAUAUUCAGAUUUAUCUCCAUUCCAUCAUGCCAAACCUUGGUUUAAGAGAACUGGAAACCCUGAUCACCAUCCACUAAACACUGGAUGUAAGCUCUGUUUAGGUCAAGAACAAUGUCUUAAUCAUCUGCAUCUCCCCUGCGCCUGAAACACAGGAAUCACUCAGAGAAAGUUCUUGAUUGACGAUAAUAAACACGAAGGCAAAAGGAUGACUCCUAAUUCUCACAGCAAAUUUCAUGUAUUUGAAGCAACACUUGUGAUACUGACUGUUAUAUUUUUAGAGGGCUAAAAUAUGCCCUGAGCUGCUUUUUAGUUGAAGCUUUCUGAAUAAAUAAAGCACAAUUGUUUGGAAGAGGUCACACAUUAAGGAAUCAAUGAUGCCCAUUCAUCCUCUUGUGGUAAAGCUCAGGUUUCCUGUUUUGCAAUUGUUUCAAUCUAGACUGGAAGCUCUCAGAGGCAGAGAUUUCACAUUUAUAUGCCCAGGAAUUCAUCUGGGCACCUGUGUUGUUUCAUUCCAUGACUAAUAGCUAAAAAUAAAUGAGUAAUAACGCAUUGUUAGGGUAAGGUUUGCUUCAUGCCCCGAAAUGUAUUCUGAAAACACUGAUCAUAAACUUCUUUUAACCAACUGAGUGUUCCAAAAGCAAAAAUCUAGUGAAAAUUACUCAAAAAAAAAAAUGACAUCGUUUUGGUUGGAGAGUUUCUUAUGACGGAUACACAACUAGCUAUGUACACUGUUAACACUGACUUGUGUAAAAGCAAUGCUGUUUUUCUUUAGAGUGAAUAAAAUUAUUGAAAAGAAGAAUUCAUAGCUUGGAAAGAAGAAUGAAGUUCAUCUAUUCUCAUCAUCUAUUCCCAUUAUACCAUGUCCUAAUUGUUAUUCAGCCUGUACUUGAAUACCCUGUAGAAAGAGAAAUCCCCUAUCUGCAAGGGGGUCAGUAUUCACUUCACUUCAUUUAUUCAUUCAUUCAGACAUUUUUAAAGACCUCUUAGAUAGUCAGGCUUCAUUUUAAACUCUGUCAUAAGAGUUAUUUGCUUAUGUAAGGGUAAAAUCUGAGUCUUUGUAGCUUACAUUAGUAAAUUUAAUGUUUAUUUCUCAGAAGCCUACAAGUCUAAUCUAUCUUCUAAUCUACGUGAUGGCUCUUCAAGUAUUUCGAAGAAAUGUCAUCUUCCUGGAUCAUUCUGUCUUUGUUCUAAACAUCUCCAGUUCCUGAACCCAUUGCUCAGAUGAGAUGGUUUUAAGUCUUCUCCUCCUCAUUCUAGUUUAUUUAUAACCUUCUGAAAACAGGAUCACAAAAGUAUUGUUUUAUAUGUUGUCUGACUAGUUGGAAGGAAAAUCUAGGUCCUCUUUUCGCCUUUAUCCAUUACAUUUCUUAAUACAAACUUAGUGAACAUUCAUAUUUUGAGUGGUAAAAUACAAAUGUUUGCUCCUGUUGAGCUAAUAAUUAAAUCUAAGUUCCUUAAAUCUUAUUCAAGUAGAGUGCUUCUAAACUACAUUCCUCCUACUCUGUAUUUAUGGAGUUGGUUUUAGGGACCUAGUCCCAUUAUACUUACAUGCAUUCAAUUCAUCUUAUUAUAUUUACUCCAUUUAAUUGUUUAAUUUUAAAAAUUAGUGAGAUUCUGUGCUAUAGAGAUGAAAGACACAAUUUUUGCUCUCCAGGACCUCACAGUCUAGUAAAAAAUGGAUAAGUUAACAAAGAAUUAUAAAUCAGGAUGCUAAGUGCUGUGAUUGGUAUAAGUAAAAAAGUACAUUGACAACAUAUAGAAAAAGCAGACAAACUUUUGCUGUUGUUUUUAUUAGGAUCUGUAAGGGAGGGAGAUAAAAAGGCAAGAGUAUAAAGAUUCUGAAGAAGAGAUAAUAUUUGGUACGUUCCUUGAAGGUGAGUAGAAAUUAACCAAAGAGCAGAUAAAGGCUGAGAACAAAUAAAGGACAUUCUACAGUGUGCUGUCCAGUAUGUUAGCCACUAGCUACAAAUGACUAUUCAGCAUUUGAAAUGCAGCCUGUCCAAGUUGAGAUGUGCUAUAAGUGUAAAAUACACACCAGGUUUUAAAGAUUUAGUAAGAAAAGCAUGUAAAAUAUCUCAUUAAUACCUUUUACGUUUGUUACAUGUUGAAAUAAUCAUAGUUUGGAUA
rnacentral:lncRNA from 10 species